rnacentral:lncRNA from 1 species
GUGAGCUUCAUCCAAUCAGCUGAAGAUGUUAAAAGCAAAAACUGAAGUUUCCUAAAGAAGAAGGAAUUCUGCCUCAAGACUGUAUCAUAGAAAUCUUUCCUGAAUUUUCAGCCUGCUGGCCUGCUCUAUGGAUUUUGAACUUGCCAUCCCCCACAAUCAUGCGAGUUCAGAACAUAAGCUCCUCUUCAAAGUAAACACAGGCACAUGAAAACUUGACAGAAAAGGAGUGGAGGAUGUGAACUGGAUAGAUAUGGGA